AUGAACGCUGGCGGCGCGCCUAAUACAUGCAAGUCGAGCGAGAAGACGUAGCAAUACGUUUGUAAAGCGGCGAACGGGUGAGGAAUACAUGGGUAACCUACCCUAGAGUGGGGAUAACUAGCCGAAAGGUUAGCUAAUACCGCGUACGCUCCUUGGACUUCGGUUCAGGGAGGAAAGCGAUGCCGAGGGUAUCGCGCUCUUGGAUGGGCUCAUGUCCUAUCAGCUUGUUGGGAGGUAACGGCUCACCAAGGCUUCGACGGGUAGCUGGUCUGAGAGGACGAUCAGCCACACUGGCACUGCGACACGGGCCAGACUCCUACGGGAGGCAGCAGUAAGGAAUAUUGCGCAAUGGGCGAAAGCCUGACGCAGCGACGCCGCGUGGGGGA
rnacentral:rRNA from 1 species